GAUGAACGCUGGCGGCGUGCCUAAUACAUGCAAGUCGAGCGAACAGACGAGGAGCUUGCUCCUCUGACGUUAGCGGCGGACGGGUGAGUAACACGUGGAUAACCUACCUAUAAGACUGGGAUAACUUCGGGAAACCGGAGCUAAUACCGGAUAAUAUAUUGAACCGCAUGGUUCAAUAGUGAAAGACGGUUUUGCUGUCACUUAUAGAUGGAUCCGCGCCGCAUUAGCUAGUUGGUAAGGUAACGGCAUACCAAGGCAACGAUGCGUAGCCGACCUGAGAGGGUGAUCGGCCACCCUGGAACUGAGCCACGGUCCAGACUCCUACGGGAGGCAGCAGUAGGGAAUCUUCCGCAAUGGGCGAAAGCCUGACGGAGCACCGCCGAGUGAGUGAUGAAGGUCUUCGGAUCGUAAAACUCUGUUAUUAGGGAAGAACAAAUGUGUAAGUAACUAUGCACGUCUUGACGGUACCUAAUCAGAAAGCAACGGCUAACUACGUG
rnacentral:rRNA from 1 species